AAUCAACGCUGGCGGCGUGCCUAACACAUGCAAGUCGAACGCGAAAGUCCCGCAAGGGGCAAGUAGAGUGGCGCACGGGUGAGUAACACGUGGAUAACCUGCCUUCAAGUGGGGAAUAACCUUCCGAAAGGAGGGCUAAUACCGCAUAAUACCUUGAGACAAAAGUCUCGAGGUUGAAAAGAGCAAUUUGCUUGAAGAGGGGUCCGCGCCUGAUUAGCUAGUUGGUGAGGUAAGGCUCACCAAGGCUUCGAUCAGUAGCCGUCCUGAGAGGGAGCACGGCCACACUGGAACUGAGACACGGUCCAGACUCCUACGGGAGGCAGCAGUGGGGAAUUUUUGGCAAUGGGCGAAAGCCUGACCAAGCAACGCCGCGUGGGUGAUGAAGUAUCUUGGUACGUAAAACCCUUUCGGCAGGGACGAACCUAAUGACGGUACCUGCGGAAGAAGCCCGGCUAACUCCGUGCCAGCCGCCGCCGUAAC
rnacentral:rRNA from 1 species